AUUGCAUCGAAUAUAACUGCAAAUUGGUUCAUUAAACUUGUUUGCGGAACUCAAUGUUGCAAGAUUAAGUUGUGUGUGCAGAAAAAUCGUACUAGUCGGAUUGUAAUGCAUUUUGCAGUCACGUGGUCUAGAACGCUCUGCUGCUUAAACA
rnacentral:snoRNA from 1 species